CGGCCGCGUCGACAUUGGAAACGAUAGCUAAUACCGCAUAACAUACCUUUACCGCAUGAUAGAGAUAUCAAAGGAGCAAUCCGCUGAGAGAUGGGCUCGCGUCCGAUUAGAUAGUUGGUGAGGUAACGGCUCACCAAGUCGACGAUCGGUAGCCGGACUGAGAGGUUGAACGGCCACAUUGGGACUGAGACACGGCCCAGACUCCUACGGGAGGCAGCAGUGGGGAUAUUGCACAAUGGGCGCAAGCUUGAUGCAGCAACGCCGCGUGAGGGAAGACGGUCUUCGGAUUGUAAAC
rnacentral:rRNA from 1 species